rnacentral:rRNA from 1 species
UACGGAGGUCCCAAGCGUUGUUCGGAGUUACUGGGCGUAAAGGGAGCGCAGGCGGAUAGGUAAGUCUAAAGUGGAAUCCCGGGGCUCAACCUCGGAACUGCUUCGGAUACUGCCUGUCUUGAGUUCGUGAGAGGAAAGCGGAAUUCAGGGUGUAGCGGUGAAAUGCUUAGAUAUCCUGAGGAACACCAAUGGCGAAGGCAGCUUUCUGGCGCGAUACUGACGCUGAGGCUCGAAGGCGUGGGGAGCGAACGGG